AACCUCCGCAAUGUGAGAAAUCGCGACGGGGGGAUCCCAAGUGCCAUUCUUAACGGGAUGGCUUUUCAUUAGUGUAAAGAGCUUUUGGAAUAAGAGCUGGGCAAGACCGGUGCCAGCCGCCGCGGUAACACCGGCAGCUCUAGUGGUAACAAUUUUUAUUGGGCCUAAAGCGUCCGUAGCCGGUUUAAUAAGUCUCUGGUGAAAUCCUGUAGCUUAACUGUGGGAAUUGCUGGAGAUACUAUUAGACUUGGGACCGGGAGAGGUUAGAGGUACUCCCAGGGUAGAGGUGAAAUUCUGUAAUCCUGGGAGGACCGCCUGUUGCGAAGGCGUCUAACUGGAACGGUUCUGACGGUGAGGGACGAAAGUUAGGGGCGCGAACCGGAUUAGAUACCCGGGUAGUCCUAACUGUAAACGAUGCGGACUUGGUGUUGGGGUGGCUUUGAGCUGCUCCAGUGCCGAAGGGAAGCUGUUAAGUCCGCCGCCUGGGAAGUACGGUCGCAGACUGAAACUUAAGGAAUU
rnacentral:rRNA from 1 species